UACGGAGGGGGCAAGCGUUAUCCGGAUUUACUGGGUGUAAAGGGGGCGCAGACGGCGAUGCAAGCCAGGAGUGAAAGCCCGGGGCCCAACCCCGGGACUGCUCUUGGAACUGCGUGGCUGGAGUGCAGGAGGGGCAGGCGGAAUUCCUGGUGUAGCGGUGAAAUGCGUAGAUAUCAGGAGGAACCCCGGUGGCGAAGGCGGCCUGCUGGACUGCAACUGACGUUGAGGCCCGAAAGCGUGGGGAGCAAACAGG
rnacentral:rRNA from 1 species